UUUUUGUUAUUUUCUCACAGUCAAUAUAAAAAUCAAAAGACAAGAAAAAUAGUGAAGUAUUGCCUGCAGAGGCUAUGAUGUUAUCUGUGGUAUAACUGACUGGGAUGGCUAUUGAAAUCUUGCUAAGCACAAUCAGAAGUAACCAAAAUAUCUUUUAACCAAAAUAUACUGGGCAGAAGCUGAAGAAAGGAUAUUUAAGUACACUGAAUAAUUCCUUACAAUAUAGUAACAUAAAUGGAGUCAACUAACACACAUAAACCUUUUAUGAAAUUUGACUAUCCAUAGUUUAUAACAUAGGCUUUCAGUUUUAUAAGAUUUCGAAUGAUUUUCCUCUUUUCAAUUAAACCCAUCCUUUUCCUUCAUUAUCUUUUAGUUCUUAAGACAGAAGAGCAAGAUAAGUCUAUAUUGUCUGUCACAAGAUGAAGGUAGAGGCACAUUAUACAAAUACAGACCUGAAGAAGUAGAUAUUGAUGCCAAGUUAAGCCGAUUAUGUGAACAAGACAAAGUGGUGCAUGCUCUGGAAGAGAAACUUCAGCAACUCCACAAGGAGAAAUACACGCUUGAGCAAGCUUUGCUAUCAGCCAGCCAAGAGAUAGAAAUGCAUGCAGAUAACCCAGCAGCCAUUCAGACAGUGGUGUUACAAAGGGAUGAUUUACAAAAUGGACUGCUUAGUACGUGUCGAGAACUUUCUCGAGCCACUGCCGAAUUGGAACGAGCAUGGAGAGAAUAUGAUAAGUUAGAAUACGAUGUAACUGUUACCAGGAACCAGAUGCAAGAGCAGCUGGAUCACCUUGGUGAAGUUCAGACGGAAUCAGCAGGAAUUCAGCGUGCACAGAUUCAGAAAGAACUUUGGCGAAUUCAGGAUGUCAUGGAAGGGCUGAGUAAACAUAAGCAGCAAA
rnacentral:sRNA from 1 species